GAAGAAGCUACAAAUCAGAGAGAUAGGAGGAGCGAAUGCAGAUGAUGAGAUCUACCAGACCAUAGCGAUCACAGAUCCAGAGCUCUUACGUGCGUUCAUGGCGAAGGUGAUGGCCGUUGUGAACACCUCUCAGGAUGCGGCUUCCGGUGAAAUUACCGUCGCAGAUGAGGUAAUCGAUGCUAGUAUGAUUCGAAUUUUGAAUGAAUUCCUGACGAUUCUUCAAAAUGGAGGAGACGAUGCCUAGGGCUAGGGUUCCGAAUUCCGAUUACUGAUUUUGGUAUGAUUUUGGGAUUAAAUGUUGAGAGAGAUCUAUCUAGGAUGCUAAUAAGUAAAUAAUAAGUAAAUGUUGUUCUGUUACUAUGAGUUUGCUGCAGUUAUGAAUAUUGACAAGUACAUUGAGAUCUAGGGA
rnacentral:lncRNA from 1 species